CGCCACGAGGGCGCGCGGGGGAGGGGCGCAGGGCAAGGGAGGCGGCGCCCCCCUCCCGUGCGGCCUCGCGCGCCCCGUCCUGGGAGACCGAUCUCGCCCUCGCGUUGGCGGCGUCCCCUGCCGGCCGGGCGGCGAUUUGCAGGCCCAGCCGGCGCCGGUUUCACGCGGCGGCUCAACGUUCGCGGAGCCCCACGAGUACCCACCCGCUGGUCAGAUCGGCGGCCGCUGCCGCGGGGAGAAGCAGUAGCGUGUAGGGCGGGCACGCUGGUCCUGCUUCCAGUUGGGCUUCGAUUUUACACGUGAAGAAAGGAUGUCUCAGAGGAGUUAGAGAAGAGCAAUUAAUAGACAGUGCUAAAGCCUGGAUCUCCUGAAUCCUGGAAUUUCCAAUAGUCUGGAUUUUGUUGAUGGCAUCCCUGCAAUGGGAAUUCCAUAGCUUAACAAGUGCUGUGCAUUCUGCAUGUUUGUAAAUCGGUAACUGGCUCUAGAGGUUUGAUCAGAUUCAGAUGAAAGUGUCAUAAGUUAGAUUCCUGGGAAGAAAAUUCUGAGACACAUUCUGCUGGAUGAUUAUUAGGGCUCAUCCUUGGUUUCAACACCCAUAGAAGGAAGGGGGAAGAAGGAAUCGAACAGAGGAGAGACAGAAGUCGAGAUGCAUUUCAGGCCGGGACUCUUGACUGAACCCACAGGAGCUUUGGAGCUAGAAUGGCCCUUCAGAGUUUUCCUGAGUUGGGCUGAGAUGGCCAGUUCUUUAUAUUCCUGCAUGGGAUAGUCACUGGAUGUCCACCCCAGGAAGCAGUGUGGCCAAGACAGUCCCUGAAAUGCCUGCCAGCACUCCCUAUACCUGGAGCAAUGAGACCAACAUCACAGGGGGAUAUACUGGGUGAGGAUCACAGCAUUCAUCCCAGAAGAUGAGGAUACAGAAUUGGCUGACUGCUACAUUCUAAAUGUCAAUGUUCCCCAAAAUUCAUAUGUUGAAACUUAAUUCCCCAAUGUGAUGGCAUUAGGAAAGGGGGCCUUUGGGAGGGGCUAUAGGUCAUGAGUGGGAUUAGUGUCCAGAGAGCUGCCUUGCCCUUCCACCAUGUGAGGACAUAGUGAGAAGGUGCCAUCUAUGAACGAGGAAGUGGGCGCUUACUACCAGACACCCACUCUUCGGGCAACUUAAUCUUGAAUUUCCCAGCAUCCAGAACUCUGAGAAAUCAAUUUCUGCUGAUUAUAAGCUACCCAGUCCAUAGCAUUUUGUUAAAGCAGCUGAAACUAAACUAAGACAGUGACGUUUUCUGCAACAAAAAGAUAGAGUGAGUCUCUAUAGCAUACCAUGUAACAGAUGUGUUUGGAAAAAUAACCUCAUUUCAUAUGUUUCCUCAAGCUAAAAAGAAUAUCAUAACAACAAAUGAGAAAAUAGUUGGUUUAGAAAUAUUGCACCCUAUGGAGAGAGUAUUUUGGAUUUGGUUUUUUUGUUUUGUUUUUAACUUUUGUUUUAGGUUCAGGGGCACAUAUGCAGGCUGGUUAUAUAGGUAAACUCAUGUCACAGGGAUUUGUUGUACAGAUAAUUUCAUCACCCAGGUACUAAGCCUAGUACCCAAUAGUUGCUCUUUUUCCUCCUCUCCCUCCUCCCACCCUCCACCCUCAAAUAGGCCCCAGUUUGUGUUGUUCCUUUCAUUAUGUUCAUGAAGUUGAGAGAGUGUUUUGAAAAAGAAUGUUGGAAAGCAUUUCCACUGUUAGAUGAUUUUAAGUCAAAAAGUUAUAUAACAGUGUCACCUAUCUAGAUGCACACAAGCAUGGACACAGAAUUGUUUCAUAUGUUUAAAACUUUUCUAGAUCCUUUUGUGGUUCAUAAGCUUGAUGAUUGAGUUUUCACGUCCACGUGUGAGAUGUGCCUCCCUUGAGCCUUGUUACAACAUUGGCACAUUCCCUGCCUGAUGUGAACAAUAAAAAUAAAAAAUAAAAAUUUGCUAAACAGA